ensembl:snoRNA SNORA63 Small nucleolar RNA SNORA63
AUGCAGGAACUAGUUACAAUAUAGCAGUGAAGUGCUUUAUUGUCGUUCCCCCUGCUUAAAUCAAAAUGUUUUUUACUAUCCCUGUCUGUUUUGCUAUAUAUGCCAUAGCAGCCAGGGACGCUUGAUCUCAAACAU